rnacentral:rRNA from 1 species
CAGUCGCCGCGGGAAUACGUAGGUGGCGAGCGUUGUCCGGAAUUAUUGGGCGUAAAGGGAGCGCAGGCGGACAUAUAAGUCCAUCUUAAAAGUGCGGGGCUCAACCCCGUGAGGGGAUGGAAACUGUAUGCCUUGAGUGCAGAAGAGGAAAGCGGAAUUCCCAGUGUAGCGGUGAAAUGCGUAGAUAUUGGGAGGAACACCAGUGGCGAAGGCGGCUUUCUGGACUGUAACUGACGCUGAGGCUCGAAAGCCAGGGGAGCGAACGGGAUUAGAUACCCCAGUAGUCCCUGUCUCUUAUACA